GCCCAGGUGGCGGAAUUGGUAGACGCGCUGGUUUCAGGUACCAGUAGUGAAAGCUGUGGAGGUUCGAGUCCUCUCCUGGGCA
rnacentral:tRNA from 2 species